ensembl:lncRNA
CCUGAGGACCUAAAGGUGCUGCCGCCACCCUUUCUAAGGUCACAGGAGGUGCAGGGUGCAGCAGGAGAACAGCGACCUCUACUGUUGCCGUGGCGACGGGGCAGGAGGCAGAGCAGGGUUUGGUCCAAGCUCACUGGGACUGAAGAGGAGGCGGCGGUUUGGACGGGAUGGACUGCAUUCAGUUCCAGGGCUUUCCAGAACCUCCCAGGGGCUUCAUUAAAACAAAGGGAGGAGGAGGAGGAGGAGGAGGUGGUGGGACUUCCUGUUGGAAUGUUACAGGCCAACCGUGACCCCAUAGGAACUGCAACUUUUAAUGUGGACAGAAGGUCUACAGUCGCACUGCAGUUAUAUCAUGUGGAUCUAUUACAGAGGUUCUCCAUCGUGCAACAGUUACAGCCUGUGUCGUCUUUUCUAACAACCUAAUGCAACACAAACCGAACAGAUUAUUCUUCUUCUCAGGUGACCGUUAUAACCUCUACUAGUAACCAAUAAGAAAACUGCAACAACAUCGAUUUAACAAAUAUUCUGUUUUUGUUUAGUAUUUUGUGAAUUUAUGAAUUUAUAUCAGGAGUUGGUUCAUCAAGAUAAACAGUUGGUGACACUACAAUAUAUCAUUUCUGCUGCUAGAGGGUUUUUAAAAACAACAACAAAAAGACGUUGUGAGGUAGUAUGGGAUCAUGAGAGUUGUUUACCACGAUUGCUCAUCAUUGCUUCUUAGAAAUCAUUCUGUGUUUAUUGUUCAGGAGGUUUUUACCGUGAGCCGAAUUACCCGCAGAGGUCUCCUCCUCUCCAAAACAAACAGGCCCUGUGAUUAAAACCGGUAAAAACAUUGAUUAAAGCAGUUUUACAUUCUGAUGUUGUUUGGCAGACAAUGAAAUGUCCCCAAGGGGCUGCAAGCCGAGCUGCUGCUAACAUUAAGAUAUAUAUUUUUUUAAAGAUAUAGUUAAAAAUGACCAGGGUCUAAAAAAGUGUAUCAUAAAAAUGUGGCUUAAAACUGGAUAAAAAGUCAAUUUAUGACUCUGACGCAUGUGCAAAGGCCAUAGAGAGGCGACUGGCGAAACGCAGCAGAUUUAAGUUUAAGUUUAAGCGUUGUUGGAAACGUUUGAGAUACUGUAAGUACACAACUCAAAAUAUAUAACCAAGGUCUGGUGUGCAUUUUAACAUGGAAACGUAUUAUAUCUUUAAACCAUUGCAGAAGAAGAUACUGUAUGAAAUGAUAUGAUGUGAUAUGAUUGAAUUAUGGCAUCUAUGUUGGUUUUGCUAUUUUUUUAUUUCAUCAGUGGGCCAUAGGCUCAAUAACCCCUGUGUUACUGUUUAACUUUAAUAUAUAUAUUUAUAUUUAUUCUUAAUAUAUUAUAUGUUCUGGAGUAUGUAACGAAAGUAAUUUCCCCCUGGGAUUAUUAAAGUAUUUAUGAUUCUGAUUCUGAUUCUGUUACCUCACUGGACGAUAGUGAUAUAACAUUAAGGCAUUUAUUUGGAUGAAACUCUUUAAAACAGCAUUAGUUGGUUUUAGCAUCUGGCUCUUUAUCAAUUUAUAAAGUUAGCAACUCUAACAAGAUGUACAGUGGAUUUAUUAAGAGCUUUUAGCCAAAAACAGCUGCCUGCUGCUGCUGGAAACGACCCUGAUGAGAGCGAAAAACCAAAACAAUGAGCUCAAAGGGGCUAAAACGCUCAUAGAGCUAAGAGGAACUGUAGGUCCUCUUACUGUAAUUUUGAUGUUCAACUAAACGUUUCCACAGGCAUCCAUGCUUUGAUGGUUGCGUAUUUGUAGAAAUGUCCUUCACUGUGGAGCAUGACAGCUGGAUAAUGAGUAGCUUGUGGGGGGAUUGGAAACCAUCUUGAUACCGUUCUGUUCCAAAACAGAGACCAGGCCAGAGAGCGAGAGCCAGGAAUAUCAACACGGAAAGCUAAUCCAUGAGUCAGCGGUGAUGAUGAAAGAAUCAUAUUAACUCCCUGCAGAUAUUUAGUAGUUAUUUUCUGUCAGAAGAUGUUGCUACACAAAACAGCUGAGUUCAGGAGUGAAAGGACGACACCUGUGGUCUGACUGUUCAGCAGCAAUCAGCAGGAAACAAUAGGGAUGUUGUCAGUUUGAGGCAAUAGACUCACUCAGGAACUAGUGUGGGACGACUGCCACUUUGGAUCAGAGAUAGCUGUCUAUGGGUGUAGGUGUUUAAGAUGACACUCUUAUCCUGCCCAGUAAAAGCAAGUGUUAGAAUUUUGGCCACUGUGACGUGAUAAUGUUCCUGUGGCCCGGAGAAUAAUCACAAGAAGAAGGUACAGAAAGAUAGUCAUAAUGGUAUAUUCAUGGUAUUGAAUUUUAGUGACAAAACUGUUUCACCACAUACGAAAUAAUUGACGUAUAUUCAGCGAGGAUUCACGAGAGAUUCUGUGUAUGGUUCAGAAAAUCUACAAAACUGUAAAAGAAUUCUUUUUAAAAUCUGAUGUUUUUAGGAAAAUAUUGCACCUCUGCACAAAAUGUGACAUUGUCGAACAAAGACUUGUGUUAUUGUGGUCUUGGCUUUGUCAUUAAUGUUUGGUGAGCUGAAUAAAUAAACUCUCUGGUUUAAAUUGUGUUCUGUGUUUCUGCUGCAUGUUUCACAGAUUUGCCAAGUAUACAAACAACAGCUGGAGCUGUUUGUUUUUAUUGUUCAUACAUUAAAGAAUUUUCUUUUUUCUCUUCUUGUCCAAAACUCCACAACGUUGUACAAACACUAAAUACGUCAAAUCAAAGUUAAUGACACAUACAGAGCAAAAUAUAUUAGAACAGUUUUCUGUAUGAUACAUUGAGAACAUUGUGAUACUGAAUUGAAAAGGAAAGAAAAUGAUACAUGUUAUAUUUUACAAUAAAGUAUAUGAUUAUUAUAUAUUAUAUUAUUACAAUAAACAUACAUUAGACCUUCCUCGCCUAAACUGACUUCAAUACAGACUUGUAAUAACAUUAAUGAGCUCAGUUCUAUUUCCGUGUCCCAGUAAGUCAUGACAGUGUGACAGCGAGUCAGCACGCUCAAUACCGGGAUCAUAAACUGAAGCAGCGAAAUGGAAUUCAGCCGUCAUUCAUUUUAUUUUUCACACCUGUGCUUUUGCUACUGUGACAUGUCAAAAUGUCUUCUGUGAGUAAGAGAUACUCGGAUCAUAUCGCUGUGCUGAAACCAGCAUCAUAUAAGAUGACCGAGGGUCGUAAUACUGACAUAAUAUGUAAGGAUUUUCCUAUUCUGAACUAGUGCCAGAUGUACAGUGAGUAAAUCUUCCAUCCUACACAGAUCCCACAAUCCAUGUCUCACAUGAUGGCAUUUUGACUUUGAAUGGAUUAUUCAAAUAACUUGUUUACAUGAGUUGGGUUGUUCUGUGUGAUUUAUUAGUUGAAGGCUCCAAAAAAUCCUUGAGAGAAAGAACCUUGAGUUGAAAUUAUUUUGUCAUGUUUAUUUACUUUGGUUGUAUUGCAAAAUAGCAUCUUUUAUUGUUUAAGGGAUGCUCAUUGAGAGAAGCAUAUUUGUGUUGUGAAAUUAUUAUUGAUCACUUGGGCUUUGUUGUAGUUUUGAGCUUCAUUCCUAAAUAUAAUGUCAUCAUGUUGGACAAUGUCUCCCACCCACUCCAUGACGUGCUGGUUAAACACAGGAGGACUUUCAGAGCAAGACUUAUUCCACCGAGAUGCACCACAGAACGCCACAGGAAAUCAUUCCUGUCUGUGGCCAUCAAACUCUUCAACUCCUCCCUUCUCCCUUCCCUCAUGAGUCAUUUGUCAUUACACUGGCUGUGGCAAUGUGCAAUGCUCUGAUUAAUGUGCAAUACACUGAUUAAUGUGCAAUACUCUGAUUAAUGUGCAAUACUCUGAUUAAUGUGCAAUACUUUAGUUAAUGUGCAAUACUCUGAUUAAUGUGCAUUAUACUGAUAAAUGUGCAAUGCUCUGAUUAAUGUGCAAUACACUGAUUAAUGUGCAAUACUUUAGUUAAUGUGCAAUACUCUGAUUAAUGUGCAUUACACUGAUUAAUGUGCAAUGCUCUGAUUAAUGUGCAAUACACUGAUUAAUGUGCAAUACUCUGAUUAAUGUGCAAUACUCUGAUUAAUGUGCAAUACUUUAGUUAAUGUGUAAUACUCUGAUAAAUGUGCAAUACUCUGAUUAAUGUGCAAUACUUUAGUUAAUGUGCAAUACUCUGAUAAAUGUGUAGUACUCUGAUUAAUGUGCAAUACUUUAGUUAAUGUGCAAUACUCUGAUAAAUGUGCAAUACUCUGAUAAAUGUGUAGUACUCUGGUUAAUGUGCAAUACUUUAGUUAAUGUGCAAUACUCUGAUAAAUGUGCAAUACUCUGAUAAUG